rnacentral:lncRNA from 1 species
GUUCCUUCUGACGUGGGUUUUUCUUUCCAUCUGAAUCAUUCAGUAUGACUUUGGAGCACAAUGGAGCUGUGAUUUUUUUCGAAGCCACCAGCCUGCAGGAAACAGAAGGUCUCUGAAUAAAAGGGAGGCUCUUGUUACAGCUUCCCUCUUAUUUACUGUUCCCAGUAGCAGAGAAGUAAAAAGACAAUGAAUGAAAUGGAGGAUUAAUCACGCGUAGCACUGAAAUAUAAACAAGGAGACAGAGCGUUCCAGAGCACUGCUCUGAGCAGUGGCUCGUGCCCACAGCGUGCAGAAAUCUCUCAUCACUGAGACCUCCUGGAUUUCACGAAAAAGCCCAAAAGGCCAGAGAAGGCUCCACAGGUGGUUUUUCAAAGUUCUCUUUAGAAAACAUACAAGAAAAACCUCGGGAAAGUUUAUUUGGGCCACCUGCAAUAAUAAAAUUGAAGUGACCCAAGCCUGAAAAUCACACCAUGUAUCUCCAUGAAUUUGUGUCCCCAAAUUCCUGUUGGAGUGAAUGGAGCUGGUGGAGUCUACUCAGGCUCCUCACCAUACAGGUGGUGUUGGGAGGAGAUGGUGACUCAGCUCUUGACCUGCCCCUAGACGUGCCCUGGCCUCCAGAAGGUGAGUAUCUUCUCCAGGCUGUCCCCUCUACCCUCCUGAAUUCCAAAUUCCAUGCUUGCUCCCAGCAUCCUGGGGAGCAAGCCAUGGGGAUGGCCAUGAAAUGCUGGAGCUGGGGGUGUUGGUGGGGGUUGAGAUGAUGUUCUGGAAAUGUAAAGAACAACUGCAUGCUGAAUCCAUCUGGUCACCCUCCUCCUUAU